CCCAGUGAGAAGACAUGAACAGAACCUGAAGAACUUGCUGCUACAAGAAUAUCUGGAAGUUGCGUUGAAGGUCCAAAUGACAAGGAAAAUAUUGUUGAUGGGUAUGUCCCCCUUCUGAAACUAUAUGACUUCGUUGCUUCUAGAACUAGAUGAACUCUGAUUAUAGUUCCCUGCUCAGAUGCUGUAGCAAUGUACAUUCCAUUUGAAGAAAGGGCAACUGCAGCCAAUGGCGCGCGAUGAGCAUCUAUCUCACAAUGUGACUGGACUUCCAUGACAUUGUAGACCAAAACUGAUCCUUUGGUUGUACUA
rnacentral:misc_RNA from 1 species